AUCCAGUAAUGGUUUCCGAAAAACCCAAAUUUCCAAUGAGGUUGAUAUUUUCAGUCAGAUUGUAAACGCUGCAACGACUGAGAGCGCCGAAAUUUCCGUUUAGUACCAGAGUGCAAUCAGAAAAACUGCUUCGAUAAACCGUCGUCGACAACUUUAGUUAAUGAAUUGGUUGCGUAGUUAUGUAAUUGAGACUUUCUCCUACAACCUCCGACCAGAAACACUUAACAGCUGUAAUAAUUAAGCUACUGCCUUCAUUGAGAUGUUCUAAGUCAGGGGACGGUCUGGACAUUUUAUUUGAUGACGUCAACCGAUGUGGACUCAUCCAAAAUCGACGAUUUAUCAGAAUUUGAAGGGGGAAUAGAAGAAUAAAUAUGUAAAUAUGUAUAUGUAUGUAUGUAACUCAAUAGUUUGCAUUAUUCUUAAAUUUUGUAAUUAUGUAAGUAUGUUUUAAAAUGAUUUUA